rnacentral:rRNA from 1 species
CAGCCGCCGCGGGAAUACGUAGGUGGCAAGCGUUGUCCGGAAUUAUUGGGCGUAAAGGGCUCGCAGGCGGUUUCUUAAGUCUGAUGUGAAAGCCCCCGGCUCAACCGGGGAGGGUCAUUGGAAACUGGGAAACUUGAGUGCAGAAGAGGAGAGUGGAAUUCUACGUGUAGCGGUGAAAUGCGUAGAGAUGUGGAGGAACACCAGUGGCGAAGGCGACUCUCUGGUCUGUAACUGACGCUGAGGAGCGAAAGCGUGGGGAGCGAACAGGAUUAGAUACCCCUGUAGUCCCUGUCUCUUAUAA